UCUCUGUGAUGAUGAAAAUAGAUGACGAGUCUGAUGUUAUCCAUUGUAUUAAACCAUGUGGACAAUCAAGGCAUUUGUCUUGAGAGAU
rnacentral:snoRNA from 2 species